rnacentral:rRNA from 1 species
UGGGGAAUCUUGGACAAUGGGGGAAACCCUGAUCCAGCCAUGCCGCGUGAGCGAUGAAGGCCUUAGGGUUGUAAAGCUCUUUCGUGGGGGAAGAUAAUGACUGUACCCCAAGAAGAAGCCCCGGCUAACUCCGUGCCAGCAGCCGCGGUAAUACGGAGGGGGCUAGCGUUGUUCGGAAUUACUGGGCGUAAAGGGCACGUAGGCGGGCCAGCAAGUUAGAGGUGAAAUCCCGGGGCUCAACCCCGGAACUGCCUUUAAAACUGUUGGUCUUGAGUUCGAGAGAGGUGAGUGGAAUUCCGAGUGUAGAGGUGAAAUUCGUAGAUAUUCGGAGGAACACCAGUGGCGAAGGCGACUCACUGGCUCGAUACUGACGCUGAGGUGCGAAAGUGUGGGGAGCAAACAGG